GCCUGCUAGCCGCAGUAUUUUGACUGUGCUAAGGUAGCAUAAUCAUUAGUCUCUUGAUUAGAGGCUGGUAUGAAUGGUGGGACGAGAAAGCAACUGUCUUUGAAUCUCAUUUCUAAGUGAAAAAGCUUAGAUAAUUUUGAAAGACGAUCAGACCCUAUGGAGCUUUUUCGUUGGGGCGACGAUAUUUGAUCCUUAAAGAAAGAUUAAAAGAUUAAGUUACCCUAGGGAUAACAGCGUAAUCUUCUCGGAGAGUUCAUAUCGAUGAGAAGGUUUGCGACCUCGAUGUUGGAUUAAGAAAUUAGCAAGGUGCAGAAGUUUUGCUGGAAAGUCUGUUCGACUUUUAAACUCUU
rnacentral:rRNA from 1 species